rnacentral:rRNA from 1 species
UUUGUGCAUUAUAAUAAGCGGAGGAAAAGAAACUAACAAGGAUUCCCCUAGUAGCGGCGAGCGAAGCGGGAAGAGCUCAAAUUUAUAAUCUGGCACCUUCGGUGUCCGAGUUGUAAUCUCUAGAAAUGUUUUCCGCGUUGGACCGCACACAAGUCUGUUGGAAUACAGCGGCAUAGUGGUGAGACCCCCGUAUAUGGUGCGGACGCCCAGCGCUUUGUGAUACAUUUUCGAAGAGUCGAGUUGUUUGGGAAUGCAGCUCAAAUUGGGUGGUAAAUUCCAUCUAAAGCUAAAUAUUGGCGAGAGACCGAUAGCGAACAAGUACCGUGAGGGAAAGAUGAAAAGCACUUUGGAAAGAGAGUUAACAGUACGUGAAAUUGUUGGAAGGGAAACGCUUGAAGUCAGACUUGCUUGCCGAGCAAUCGGUUUGCAGGCCAGCAUCAGUUUUCCGGGAUGGAUAAUGGUAGAGAGAAGGUAGCAGUUUCGGCUGUGUUAUAGCUCUCUGCUGGAUACAUCUUGGGGGACUGAGGAACGCAGUGUGCCUUUGGCGGGGGUUUCGACCUCUUCACACUUAGGAUGCUGGUGGAAUG